AGAUUAAACUGAAGAGUUUGAUCCUGGCUCAGAUUGAACGCUGGCGGCAUGCCUUACACAUGCAAGUCGAACGGCAGCGCGGGGCAACCUGGCGGCGAGUGGCGAACGGGUGAGUAAUAUAUCGGAACGUACCCUGGAGUGGGGGAUAACGUAGCGAAAGUUACGCUAAUACCGCAUACGAUCUAAGGAUGAAAGCAGGGGACCGCAAGGCCUUGUGCUCCUGGAGCGGCCGAUAUCUGAUUAGCUAGUUGGUGGGGUAAAGGCCCACCAAGGCAUCGAUCAGUAGCUGGUCUGAGAGGACGACCAGCCACACUGGAACUGAGACACGGUCCAGACUCCUACGGGAGGCAGCAGUGGGGAAUUUUGGACAAUGGGCGCAAGCCUGAUCCAGCAAUGCCGCGUGAGUGAAGAAGGCCUUCGGGUUGUAAAGCUCUUUUGUCAGGGAAGAAACGGUGG
rnacentral:rRNA from 1 species